UGACACGUUAAACCACUCUGGAACGGUGCAUUGGUUCACAAGAAGCUCUACUGGCAAAAUCGCUAAAGUGUAAAUUCUGUUUGGCCAUUAAUCGCUUCUUAGCGAUUAUAACACCGUGCUCCACCGAUAAGUCGUGCAUGUAACAGACUUCGAACAAACAAAGUCGCAACUUCCAUAAUAGGUCACAGCUAAAUUUCUCGCUAAUUUACAGGCAAGAGGCAAAGGGCCAUUAAUAACCGUUGUAGCCGGCCGAAAUACCCGUAAUUUCAGUUUUGGUAUCCAAGGCGCGCCUGGUAAAUAUUUGAAUGCGACACGACGUGGCAAACGAGAUUCGCAAGGGUAGAAGUCGAAACCGGUGAGCCGUAGGCCGAUUGUACUCGGUCGCUCUGUUACCGACGGAGUAGGCACGAAAAUACGACUAAAUCUUUAACGGGCCUGCCGAGUCGGAGAUCGACUCGGUCUAGCAUGAACAGUAAGACUCUCCUUUCCGUGCGCACCGCUUGCACGCCAGAACUUCCCAGUUUCGCGUUAAGUGUAAUAAUAUACGGUUUGUUGGAACCUCGCGUAUUUAAGACUCCAAGUAGCAGCGUGCCGUGUACGAGUUACUUCAACUUCGUCGUUUAAACUCGUUACAACGGUUUACUAGAUAACUCGAUACGUAAUGAGAUAUGUACUUACUUAUCUGCAGUUUUAGCUUGGGGGUUGAAAAAUGUGAUGUUAUUGAUUCCGGUUCACGAGGCAGUUUUAACAAAUGAUCAUUGCCUAUAAUUGUUACAAAGAAUGGAAAUGAAUGAAGUUGUCUGUUUUACGGUUCAAAUAAAUUUUGACGCGUUAAUGAAGUAUUAAUUUGAGGUUAGAGUUACUUCUGAAAAAUGUGUAAAAAGGAGGUGAACAAUCCUAUAAUUCUCGGUGCUGUCGUUAACUAACUUUUCGUAACACAUAUUUAUUUAUAUUUAUUAUAAUAACAACUUCGAACCGGUUUCAAAAUAUUGUUAUUUUAACUAUGGCGCUUUAUCCAAGUAAUUCUAUAAACAAACAGAUUAUCACAAACAUCGAAGAGACAAAUUUUUUAUCUAAAGAUUCCAAAG